rfam:Salmo salar isolate Sally breed double haploid chromosome ssa14, whole genome shotgun sequence.
UUCCCUGUGGCUCAGUUGGUAGAGCAUGGUGUUUGCAACGCCAGCAUGGUGUGUGCAACGCCAGGGUUGUGGGUUCGAGUCCCACGGGGGGCA